rnacentral:rRNA from 1 species
UACGAAGGGGGCUAGCGUUGUUCGGAAUUACUGGGCGUAAAGCGCACGUAGGCGGACUAUUAAGUCAGGGGUGAAAUCCCGGGGCUCAACCCCGGAGCUGCCUUUGAUACUGGUAGUCUCGAGUCCGGAAGAGGUGAGUGGAAUUCCGAGUGUAGAGGUGAAAUUCGUAGAUAUUCGGAGGAACACCAGUGGCGAAGGCGGCUCACUGGUCCGGUACUGACGCUGAGGUGCGAAAGCGUGGGGAGCAAACAGG